rnacentral:rRNA from 1 species
UACGUAGGGUGCGAGCGUUGUCCGGAAUUAUUGGGCGUAAAGAGCUCGUAGGCGGUGUGUCACGUCGGCCGUGAAAACCUGCAGCUUAACUGUGGGCGUGCGGUCGAUACGGGCAUCACUGGAGUUCGGCAGGGGAGACUGGAAUUCCUGGUGUAGCGGUGAAAUGCGCAGAUAUCAGGAGGAACACCGGUGGCGAAGGCGGGUCUCUGGGGCCGAUACUGACGCUGAGGAGCGAAAGCGUGGGGGAGCAAACAGG